rnacentral:rRNA from 1 species
AUUGAACGCUGGCGGUAGGCUUAACACAUGCAAGUCGUGCGAGAAAGUAUCUUCGGAUAUGAGUAGAGCGGCGGACGGGUGAGUAACGCGUAGGAAUCUUCCUAGUGGAAGGGGAUAGCCCGGGGAAACCCGGAUUAAUACCGUAUACCUCCUUCGGGAGAAAGAAGGCCUCUCUUUGAAGCUUUCGCUAUUAGAUGAGCCUGCGUAAGAUUAGCUUGUUGGUGAGGUAAAGGCUCACCAAGGCGACGAUCUUUAGCUGGUCUGAGAGGACGAUCAGCCACAUUGGGACUGAGACACGGCCCAGACUCCUACGGGAGGCAGCAGUGGGGAAUAUUGGACAAUGGGCGCAAGCCUGAUCCAGCCAUACCGCGUGUGUGAAGAAGGCCUUCGGGUUGUAAAGCACUUUAAGCAGGGAGAAAAAGUUAUAAGUUAAUACCUUAUAACCGUGAUGUUACCUGCAGAAUAAGCACCGGCUAAUUCCGUG